rnacentral:rRNA from 1 species
GGAAGGAUCAUUAUUGAAUAAACUUGAACAGGCUGCUGCUGGCCCCCUUGGGGUGCAUGUGCACGCUUGUCAUCUUUAUCUCUCCUGCUGUGCACAUAUUGUAGACCUGGAGUCUGAUUAUUUGAGUAUAGAAUGAGAAUUGCUGUGCUUUCUAGUCAGCUUUGUCUUGCAUCUCCCAGGUCUAUGUUUGUUUUCACAAUCUCUGAAUGAUGUUGGAAUGUACCUAUAAAAGUUAUAUAUAUACAACUUUCAGCAACGGAUCUCUUGGCUCUCGCAUCGAUGAAGAACGCAGCGAAAUGCGAUAAGUAAUGUGAAUUGCAGAAUUCAGUGAAUCAUCGAAUCUUUGAACGCAUCUUGCGCUCCUUGGUAUUCCGAGGAGCAUGCCUGUUUGAGUGUCAUUAAGUUCUCAACCACACCAAUAUUUUGAUGUGGCCUUGGAUAUGGGGGUUUUUGCAGGCUUCUGAAAAUGAAGCCGGCUCCUCUGAAAUGCAUUAGUGGUAUCUGAGCAGAAACUACUACAGGUGUGAUAAUUAUCUAUGCCUUCAAGUAUACUGCAUGCACUGCUUCUAACAUGUUUGACAAAUUUGACCUCAAAUCAGGUAGGACUACCCGCUGAACUUAAGCAUAUCAAUAAGCGGAGGAAAAGAAACUAACAAGGAUUCCCCUAGUAACUGCGAGUGAAGCGGGAAGAGCUCAAAUUUAAAAUCUGGCGGUUUUUUAACUGUCCGAGUUGUAAUCUAGAGAAGUGCUACCUGUGCUGGACCAUGUACAAGUCUUCUGGAAUGGAGCAUCAUAGAGGGUGAGAAUCCCGUCUUUGACAUGGACUACCUGUACAUUAUGGUGCGCUCUCAAAGAGUCGAGUUGUUUGGGAAUGCAGCUCAAAAUGGGUGGUAAAUGCCAUCUAAAGCUAAAUAUUGGCGAGAGACCGAU